UUGUGACCGUAUAUCUACGACGUU
rnacentral:siRNA from 1 species